AUUUACCGUUGUCAGAAACCCCGCCAGGCCCCCUACAUCACAGUCAGCCACUAACCCAUGAUUCACCCCAGCCACGUCACCGCUUCCAUGCCACACCUCUGCCAUCCCAACAGGGGAACAAUGAGUUGCUGCGUG